UCGCGGGAUGGAGCAGUCUGGUAGCUCGUCGGGCUCAUAACCCGAAGGUCGUUGGUUCAAAUCCAGCUCCCGCAAU
rnacentral:tRNA from 13 species